rnacentral:rRNA from 1 species
AACGAACGCUGGCGGCGUGGAUAAGACAUGCAAGUCGAGAGCUGGUUACGGGGUAGCAAUAUUCCGUAAUCGGAGCGGCGCAAGGGUGCGUAACACGUGGGUAAUCUGCCAUGAAGUUUGGGAUAACUCGCUGAAAGGCGAGCUAAUACCGGAUGUGACAGUCGGAAGGCAUCUUCUGACUCUCAAAGCUGGGGACCGUAAGGCCUGGCGCUUCAUGAUGAGCCCGCGGCCUAUCAGCUAGUUGGUGAGGUAACGGCUCACCAAGGCUAAGACGGGUAGCUGGUCUGAGAGGACGACCAGCCACACUGGAACUGAGACACGGUCCAGACACCUACGGGGAGGCAG